rnacentral:rRNA from 1 species
GACGAACGCUGGCGGCGUGCUUAACACAUGCAAGUCGAACGGAAAGGCCUCAGCUUGCUGGGGUACUCGAGUGGCGAACGGGUGAGUAACACGUGGGUGAUCUGCCUUGCACUCUGGGAUAAGCUUGGGAAACUGGGUCUAAUACCGGAUAUGAACUGCCUUUAGUGUGGUGGUUGGAAAGUUUUUUCGGUGCAAGAUGAGCUCGCGGCCUAUCAGCUUGUUGGUGGGGUAAUGGCCUACCAAGGCGUUGACGGGUAGCCGGCCUGAGAGGGUGUACGGCCACAUUGGGACUGAGAUACGGCCCAGACUCCUACGGGAGGCAGCAGUGGGGAAUAUUGCACAAUGGGCGGAAGCCUGAUGCAGCGACGCCGCGUGGGGGAUGACGGCCUUCGGGUUGUAAACUCCUUUCGACAGGGACGAAGCUUUUUGUGACGGUACCUGUAUAAGAAGCACCGGCUAACUACGUG